GACGAACGCUGGCGGCGUGCUUAACACAUGCAAGUCGAACGGAAAGGCCCUGCUUUUGUGGGGUGCUCGAGUGGCGAACGGGUGAGUAACACGUGAGUAACCUGCCCUUGACUUUGGGAUAACUUCAGGAAACUGGGGCUAAUACCGGAUAGGAGCUCCUGCUGCAUGGUGGGGGUUGGAAAGUUUCGGCGGUUGGGGAUGGACUCGCGGCUUAUCAGCUUGUUGGUGGGGUAGUGGCUUACCAAGGCUUUGACGGGUAGCCGGCCUGAGAGGGUGACCGGCCACAUGGGAACUGGGAACGGCCCAGGACUCCUAGGGGGGCCAGCGGUGGGAAUUAUGGCCCAAUGGGCGAAGGCUUGAGACAACAACGCCGGGUGGGGAAUAACGGCCUUCGGGUUGUAACCGCUUUUCGCUUGUAACGAGCCGGAGUGAAGGGAAAGGGUGAAGAAGGAACGGGUAACUACGUG
rnacentral:rRNA from 1 species